GACGUAGGAUGCGAGCGUUGUCCGGAUUUAUUGGGCGUAAAGAGUUCGUAGGUGGUUUUAUAAGUCUGGUGUAAAAGACUGAGGCUCAACCUUGGUACGGCACUGGAUACUGUAAGACUAGAGUGCAGUAGAGGCAAGCGGAAUUCCCAGUGUAGCGGUGAAAUGCGUAGAUAUUGGGAAGAACACCGGUGGCGCAAGCGGCUUGCUGGGCUGUAACUGACACUGAGGAACGAAAGCUAGGGUAG
rnacentral:rRNA from 1 species